rnacentral:rRNA from 1 species
GCUUGCUUCUCUUGAGAGCGGCGGACGGGUGAGUAAUGCCUAGGAAUCUGCCUGGUAGUGGGGGAUAACGUUCGGAAACGGACGCUAAUACCGCAUACGUCCUACGGGAGAAAGCAGGGGACCUUCGGGCCUUGCGCUAUCAGAUGAGCCUAGGUCGGAUUAGCUAGUUGGUGAGGUAAUGGCUCACCAAGGCGACGAUCCGUAACUGGUCUGAGAGGAUGAUCAGUCACACUGGAACUGAGACACGGUCCAGACUCCUACGGGAGGCAGCAGUGGGGAAUAUUGGACAAUGGGCGAAAGCCUGAUCCAGCCAUGCCGCGUGUGUGAAGAAGGUCUUCGGAUUGUAAAGCACUUUAAGUUGGGAGGAAGGGCAUUAACCUAAUACGUUAGUGUUUUGACGUUACCGACAGAAUAAGCACCGGCUAACUCUGUGCCAGCAGCCGCGGUAAUACAGAGGGUGCAAGCGUUAAUCGGAAUUACUGGGCGUAAAGCGCGCGUAGGUGGUUUGUUAAGUUGGAUGUGAAAUCCCCGGGCUCAACCUGGGAACUGCAUUCAAAACUGACUGACUAGAGUAUGGUAGAGGGUGGUGGAAUUUCCUGUGUAGCGGUGAAAUGCGUA